GAUGAAGAACGCAGCGAAAUGCGAUAAGUAAUGUGAAUUGCAGAAUUCAGUGAAUCAUCGAAUCUUUGAACGCACAUUGCGCCCCCUGGUAUUCCGGGGGGCAUGCCUGUCCGAGCGUCAUUACAACCCUCAAGCUCAGCUUGGUGUUGGGCCCCGCCGCCCCGGCGGGCCCUACAGUCAGUGGCGGUGCCGUCCGGCUCCGAGCGUAGUAAUUCUUCUCGCUCUGGAGGCCCGGUCGUGUGCUCGCCAGCAACCCCCAAUUUUUUUCAGGUUGACCUCGGAUCAGGUAGGGAUACCCGCUGAACUUAAGCAUAUCAAUAAGCGGAGGA
rnacentral:misc_RNA from 1 species